UGUGGUCAUAAGUCGAGAACUAGCUGCAGCUGAUGCUGUCCUGCAGCAUCAAGUUGAAAACAAGCUUUUUUCCACCUGAGCAGAGAAGAAACAGAGGAACAAUCAACUGUCUCACUUAGCAACGGAUAGUUUUGGGCACUUUUGUGGUCAUAAGUGAAGGACUGUCUGCAUCUGUAGAUAUCCAUUUAAAUACAUAAAGAAGUGAACAAGCUGCUAAUGCUGCUAAAUUAAGGAGGAGGAAGAAAGGAGUGAGAAACGAAGCUGUCAGGGGAGAAAAAAAGAAGAAUUAACAGGCGCCACGUUUCCUGGCUGUGUUAAUUCUUGAAGGUGCCCUCUGGGCUACGCUCCUUCUGGUGGCAAGCAUUUUGGCCAAGAUUAGAGAGGUUGAAAAGGCAUUUGGGAGCACCGGCUGUGCCAUCGUUUAAGCCGAUUCAUCCAACUGCUUGAGGCACGUGGACUCUCUGGCCACGGAAACAAAUAGCUGCCCAGAAGGAAGGCCAUUUUUAACUCUCCUCAUCCAGGCGUCGUCACCACAAGACUCUCAACAUCUUUUUUGUGAUAUGGUGACCAAAACUGGCUGCAGUAUUCGAGGUGUGGUCUUACAUAACAAAUUGUCCAAAAUAGCAUCCACCAUGCAGAAUGAAGUAAUAGGAAAAAAACAUCACUGCAAUCUUUACAUGCCAAGGGCCAAGCGCAAGACGUCAGGCUAAAGAGGUCAGAGUUCAAAAGCACCACAAGUUUACUUCAUGCUACCUAUAGACAAGAACCUGCACGACUAUUGAUCCGGAUGAACAGCCUCCAGAACAGAAGACCAGACCCCCCAAAAAUAAUAAUACUUGGAUUCUCAGUAAGCCGUAUCAGCAGCACAGAAUUUUCAUUUUGGAAAUAAAGAGCAAAGUACUAUAGCGUGACUUGAACCUUACUCCAGGAUUAUUCUAAGAAAAAGCAACAGACCCGUUCCAUCUGCCCUGCCUCAGAGUUUGAAAGUUGAAGCAAAGAGCAAGGAUGAUGUAGCUGUAGGUCUGCUUUAUUGCCACACUGCCCGGGGCUUCAGUGAUGGGGACAGUGUGAAAGGCCACUCUCGACAGAAACCCUGGCUCAACUCUUCCUAUUGUCAAUCAAAGGGAAAAGCCAAAAAAAAAAAAAGGGGGGGGGAGAAGGAUCCCUCGCUGGGUCUUCCAGGAAACUUGCAAGUCUUCCCCAAAGGCCUCUUCUGUAUCAUCCAGAAGUCUAUGCUGCCAUUUUCCUCCAGCUUACGGACUGGAACCCAGAGCUGAGCUACCCACUUGAGUCAUCUAGAAGGAAUGCUGUGGUCUCCGAUGGAACGGGUCCACGCAAUUCGAUCCGCCCUCCGGCCGCAUCACGGGGUUCCCCUUGUGAAUUGAUGUUUGUUUCUGAACCAUGGGUGGUGCGCUGGGAGGAGUACAGUUCAGGGGCAAGGAAGCUUGGAAACUCAAAGGCCCCUGGGCUUGAGGGCCUUGUCCAGAAUUAACCUCCCGAGACCUAACGUGCAAAAUGAAUGAUACGGUCCAUCCCAAAUACGUGGUUCAGUUACAAAGACAAAAUUUCCCACAUUGUGCCAAGGUUUUUUGAGGCUGCUCGCAGAAGGAAGGAGAGGGCCCACAAACCUAUCAAUAACCACAGAAUGAACACAGAACAUAGAAUAACAGAGUUGGAGGGUACCUUGGAGGUCAUCUAGUCCAACCCCCUGCUCAGGCAGGAAACCCUAGACCAGUGGUUCUCAACCUUUCUAAUGCCGCGACC